AUACGGAGGAUGCGAGCGUUGUCCGGAUUUAUUGGGUUUAAAGGGUGCGCAGGCGGCCAUUUAAGUCAGCGGUUAAAUCGUGGGGCUCAACCCCAUUCUGCCGUUGAUACUGGGUGGCUUGAUUGCGGUCGAGGUUGGCGGAAUUCGUUGUGUAGCGGUGAAAUGCAUAGAUAUGACGAAGAACACCGAUUGCGUAGGCAGCUGACCAGACCGCAAAUGACGCUCAUGCACGAAAGUGCGGGGAUCGAACAGGAGUAGAUACCCUGGUAGUCCGCACAGUAAACGAUGAAUGCUUGUUUUCGGCGAUAUAAUGUCGGAGGCAAAGCGAAAGCGAUAAGUAUUCCACCUGGGGAGUACGCCGGCAACGGUGAAACUCAAAUGAAUUGACGGGG
rnacentral:rRNA from 1 species